rnacentral:rRNA from 1 species
AGUGAACGCUGGCGGUAGGCCUAACACAUGCAAGUCGAACGGCAGCACAGGAGAGCUUGCUCUCUGGGUGGCGAGUGGCGGACGGGUGAGGAAUACAUCGGAAUCUACUCUGUCGUGGGGGAUAACGUAGGGAAACUUACGCUAAUACCGCAUACGACCUACGGGUGAAAGCAGGGGACCUUCGGGCCUUGCGCCAGUGAAUGAGCCGAUGUCGGAUUAGCUAGUUGGCGGGGUAAAGGCCCACCAAGGCGACGAUCCGUAGCUGGUCCGAGAGGAUGAUCAGCAACAAUGGAACUGAGACACGGUCAAGACUCCUACGGGAGGCAGCAGUGGGGAAUAUUGGACAAUGGGCGCAAGCCUGAUCCAGCCAUACCGCGUGGGUGAAGAAGGCCUUCGGGUUGUAAAGCCCUUUUGUUGGGAAAGAAAUCCAGCUGGCUAAUACCCGGUUGGGAUGACGGUACCCAAAGAAUAAGCACCGGCUAACUUCGUGCCAGCCGCCGCCGUAA